UACAGAGGGGGCAAGCGUUAUUCGGAAUUAUUGGGCGUAAAGGGCGCGUAGGCGGCAUUGCAAGUGGAAGGUGAAAUCCCUCGGCUUAACCGAGGAACUGCCCUCCAAACUGCGUUGCUUGAGUUCGGGAGAGGUGAGUGGAACUGCGAGUGUAGAGGUGAAAUUCGUAGAUAUUCGCAAGAACACCAGUGGCGAAGGCGGCUCACUGGCCCGAUACUGACGCUGAGGCACGAAAGCGUGGGGAGCAAACAGG
rnacentral:rRNA from 1 species